AAAUAAAUUAUCAUUUAAACUUCUAAUUUAAAUUCUAGUGAUUUUAUUCAUUAUUAUUUCUA
rnacentral:tRNA from 1 species